UAGAGUUUGAUCCUGGCUCAGAUUGAACGCUGGCGGCAUGCCUUACACAUGCAAGUCGAACGGCAGCACGGGCUUCGGCCUGGUGGCGAGUGGCGAACGGGUGAGUAAUACAUCGGAACGUGCCCUGUAGUGGGGGAUAACUAGUCGAAAGAUUAGCUAAUACCGCAUACGACCUGAGGGUGAAAGCGGGGGACCGCAAGGCCUCGCGCUACAGGAGCGGCCGAUGUCUGAUUAGCUAGUUGGUGGGGUAAAAGCCUACCAAGGCGACGAUCAGUAGCUGGUCUGAGAGGACGAUCAGCCACACUGGGACUGAGACACGGCCCAGACUCCUACGGGAGGCAGCAGUGGGGAAUUUUGGACAAUGGGGGCAACCCUGAUCCAGCAAUGCCGCGUGUGUGAAGAAGGCCUUCGGGUUGUAAAGCACUUUUGUCCGGAAAGAAAUGGCUCUGGUUAAUACCCGGGGUCGAUGACGGUACCGGAAGAAUAAGCACCGGCUAACUACGUGCCAGCAGCCGCGGUAAUACGUAGGGUGCGAGCGUUAAUCGGAAUUACUGGGCGUAAAGCGUGCGCAGGCGGUUUUGUAAGACAGGCGUGAAAUCCCCGAGCUCAACUUGGGAAUGGCGCUUGUGACUGCAAGGCUAGAGUAUGUCAGAGGGGGGUAGAAUUCCACGUGUAGCAGUGAAAUGCGUAGAGAUGUGGAGGAAUACCGAUGGCGAAGGCAGCCCCCUGGGACGUCACUGACGCUCNNNCACGAAAGCGUGGGGAGC
rnacentral:rRNA from 1 species